CCCGGGCUCAACCUGGGAACUGCAUUCGAAACUGGCAGGCUAGAGUCUUGUAGAGGGGGGUAGAAUUCCAGGUGUAGCGGUGAAAUGCGUAGAGAUCUGGAGGAAUACCGGUGGCGAAGGCGGCCCCUGGACAAAGACUGACGCUCAGGUGCGAAAGCGUGGGGAGCAAACAGGAUUAGAUACCCUGGUAGUCCACGCUGUAAACGAUGUCGAUUUGGAGGUUGUGCCCUUGAGGCGUGGCUUCCGGAGCUAACGCGUUAAAUCGACGCCUGGGGAGUACGGCCGCAAGGUUAAAACUCAAAUGAAUUGACGGGGGCCCGCACAAGCGGUGGAGCAUGUGGUUUAAUUCGAUGCAACGCGAAGAA
rnacentral:rRNA from 1 species